GGCAUGCUCUAAUGCCUCUCUCUC
rnacentral:piRNA from 1 species